AUGGUGAAGGGACGCACCGGCCAGCGUGUGAGGCUCUACGUCCGCGGCACCAUCCUCGGAUACAAGAGGUGAGAAGCUCCCUCCACCGGUGCAGCUCUGCUCCUUCUCCCUCGCGUGGUGAACACCAGGGAGGAUGUGGCCUGGUACGGCGGCAAGAGGAUGGCCUGCGUCUACAAGGCCAAGACCAAGAACGACACCAACUACCACUACAUCUGGGGCAAGGUCUCCCUCUCCCACGGAAACACUAGCGUCAUCCGCGCCAAGUUCACCCUCGCUGAGGCCAUGGUGAGUUGUUGGGUCGAACUUCUCCGGUUGUCUGUUUCGGUGGCAUGCAUAAGAUUUAAACAAACUAAAUUGAGCUAUAUACCUUCUGUGAUAUCUAGUUCUAUGCCACUAUUUAUGGAGUUGUGA
rnacentral:rRNA from 1 species